UACCAGCACCCCGAGUGGUCGGGACAUUUAUUGGGCCUAAAGCAUCCGUAGCCGGUUCUACAAGUCUUCCGUUAAAUCCACCUGCUUAACAGAUGGGCUGCGGAAGAUACUAUAGAGCUAGGAGGCGGGAGAGGCAAGCGGUACUUAGUGGGUAGGGGUAAAAUCCGUUGAUCCAUUGAAGACCACCAGUGGCGAAGGCGGCUUGCCAGAACGCGCUCGACGGUGAGGGAUGAAAGCUGGGGGAGCAAACCGG
rnacentral:rRNA from 1 species